rnacentral:rRNA from 1 species
AUGCAUGCCAUUGCCAUGGAGGUGUCAAGCUUGUGUCUUGUUGCCUUAGCCACAGUAAUCAUCUUUGCUUGGUUUCUUAAGAAGCUUACGGCUUGGUCCACCGAGAAAAGCAAAUCCAAGAGGCCGCGGCUGCCCCCGGGGCCAUGGACGCUUCCGAUCAUCGGCAGCCUCCACCACCUCUUGGGCGGUCUCCCGCACCGUAGGAUGAUGGAGCUGUCUCGCCUGCACGGCCCUCUCAUGUUCCUCAGGUUCGGAGAGGUCCCGAACGUGGUGGUCUCCAGCGCCGAGGCGGCGGAGCUGGUGAUGAAGACGCAUGACCUCACCUUCGCGACUCGGCCGCGGAGCGCGACGAUCGACGUUAUCAGCGGCGGCGGCAAGGGAAUCGCGUUGGCCCCGUACGGCGACCACUGGCGCCAGAUGCGGAAGAUAUGCAUCGUGGAGCUUCUGAGCGCCAAGCAGGUGAAGCGCAUGGAGUCCAUCAGGUCACAGGGAGUGAUGAAGCUCCUCCGGUCCGUCGCUGACGCCGCCGCCGCCUCCGGUUCCGGCAUCGUCAACCUCAGCAACCUGGUGGCGGUGCUCUCCAACGACAUCACGGCGCGAGCGGUGUUCGGUGGCAUGUGCGCGCAGCAGGGCGAGUACCGCCGCGAAUUGGGCCAGAUCGUUAAACUCAUCGGAGGUUUCUGCCCGGCCGACCUUUUCCCGUCGUCGCGGUUAGUGCGGUGGCUGAGCUCAGGGGAGCGCAGCCUGAGGAAGAGCUAUGGCGGCAUGCAGCGCAUCAUCGACAACAUCAUCGAUGGACGCAAGGCCGAGCGUGAGUCCCACGUCGGCUGCAGCGCCGAGGAUGAAGACCUGCUGAGUGUGCUGCUCCGGCUCAGGGAGGAGGACUCGUUGGCAUUCCCUCUAACCUCAGAAAGUAUAGGGGCCGUCAUCACUGACAUAUUUGGAGCUGGUAGUGAAUCUUCAUCGACCACUUUGGUGUGGGCUAUGUCGGAGCUCAUGAAAAACCCUGAAGCAAUGGCGAAGGCUCAAAUAGAAGUUCGGAAAGUGCUAGGUCGAGGACGUGUUGUCAUCGCAAAUGCUGAUCUUGGUGAACUCCAUUACUUACAGAUGAUCAUCAAGGAAGUGCUUAGGUUACAUCCUCCUGCUACUCUGCUCGUCCCUCGAGAGGCUAGAAACAACUGUGAAAUCAUGGGUUAUGACAUUCCUAAGGGCGCCAAAAUAAAUGUUAAUGCCUUCGCAAUUUCUAGGGAUCCUAGAUAUUGGGAAAAUCCUGAAACCUUCAAACCAGAGAGAUUCAGCAACAACAAUAUAGAUUAUAAGGGAACAAACUUUGAGUUCACUCCCUUCGGUGCUGGGCGACGCCUGUGCCCUGGGAUGUUGUUUGGCACAUCAACCUUGGAGAUCGCAUUGGCGAAUCUUCUCUACUACUUUGACUGGGUGCUCCCUGAUGGGGCAUGCCCGUACACAUUAGACAUGUCCGAGAAGUUUGGGAUAACUGUAAGUAGAAGGUAUGACUUGCAGCUCAUAGCUAUUCCAAGUACAUAG